rnacentral:tRNA from 2 species
GCCGGAGUGGCGAAAUCGGUAUACGCACGAGACUCAAAAUCUCGCGAGCGCAAGCUCAUGGGGGUUCGAUUCCCCCCUCCGGCA